GAUGAACGCUGGCGGCGUGCCUAAUACAUGCAAGUCGAGCGAACAGAUGAGGAGCUUGCUCCUCUGACGUUAGCGGCGGACGGGUGAGUAACACGUGGAUAACCUACCUAUAAGCGUGGGAUAACUUCGGGAAACGGGUGCUAAUACCGGAUAAUAUAUUUAACCGCAUGGUUCAAUAUUGAAAGACGGUUUUGCUGCAACUAAUAGAUAGAUCCGCUCCGCAUUAGCUAUUUGGUAAGGUAACGGCUUACAAAGGCAACGAUGCGUAGCCGACCUGAGAGGGUGAUCGGCCACACUGGAACUGGGACACGGUCCAGACUCCUACGGGAGGAGGAAGUAGGGAAUCUUCCGCAAUGGGGGAAAGCCUGACGGAGCAACGCGGCGUGAGUGAUGAGGGUCUUCGGAUCGUAAAACCCUGUUAUAAGGGAAGAACAAAUGUGUAAGUAACUAUGCACGACUUGACGGUAACUAAUCAGAAAGCCACGGCUAACUACGUG
rnacentral:rRNA from 1 species